GGGCCUGUAGCUCAAUUGGUCAGAGCCGACCGCUCAUAACGGUCUGGUUGGGGGUUCAAGUCCCUCCGGGCCUACCA
rnacentral:tRNA from 5 species